AGUGAACGCUGGCGGUAGGCCUAACACAUGCAAGUCGAACGGCAGCACAGAGGAGCUUGCUCCUUGGGUGGCGAGUGGCGGACGGGUGAGGAAUACAUCGGAAUCUACUCUGUCGUGGGGGAUAACGUAGGGAAACUUACGCUAAUACCGCAUACGACCUACGGGUGAAAGCAGGGGAUCUUCGGACCUUGCGCGAUUGAAUGAGCCGAUGUCGGAUUAGCUAGUUGGCGGGGUAAAGGCCCACCAAGGCGACGGUCCGUAGCUGGUCUGAGAGGAUGAUAAAGCACACUGGAACUGAGUAUCGGUCCAGACUCCUACGGAAGGCAGCAGGGGGGAAUAUUGGACAAUGGGCGCAAGCCUGAUCCAGCCAUACCGCGUGGGUGAAGAAGGCCUUCGGGUUGUAAAGCCCUUUUGUUGGGAAAGAAAUCCAUCUGGUUAAUACCCGGGUGGGAUGACGGUACCCAAAGAAUAAGCACCGGCUAACUUCGUGCCAGCAGCCGCCGUAA
rnacentral:rRNA from 1 species